UACGUAGGCAGCAAGCGUUGUUCGGAGUUACUGGGCGUAAAGGGUGCGUAGGCGGCUUCUUAAGUCGGGGGUGAAAUCCUGGAGCUCAACUCCAGAACUGCCUUCGAUACUGGAAGACUUGAGUCCGGGAGAGGUGAGUGGAACUGCGAGUGUAGAGGUGAAAUUCGUAGAUAUUCGCAAGAACACCAGUGGCGGAAGGCGGCUCACUGGCCCGGUACUGACGCUGAGGUGCGAAAGCGUGGG
rnacentral:rRNA from 1 species